UACGUAGGGUGCGAGCGUUAAUCGGAAUUACUGGGCGUAAAGCGUGCGCAGGCGGUUUUGUAAGCCAGAUGUGAAAUCCCCGGGCUUAACCUGGGAAUGGCAUUUGGGACUGCAAGGCUUGAGUGCGGCAGAGGAGACUGGAAUUCCUGGUGUAGCAGUGGAAUGCGUAGAUAUCAGGAGGAACACCGAUGGCGAAGGCAGGUCUCUGGGCUGACACUGACGCUCAUGCACGAAAGCGUGGGGAGCAAACAGG
rnacentral:rRNA from 1 species